GAUGAACGCUGGCGGCGUGCCUAAUACAUGCAAGUCGAGCGAACGGACGAGAAGCUUGCUUCUCUGAUGUUAGCGGCGGACGGGUGAGUAACACGUGGAUAACCUACCUAUAAGACUGGGAUAACUUCGGGAAACCGUAGCUAAUACCGGAUAAUAUUUUGAACCGCAUGGUUCAAAAGUGAAAGACGGUCUUGCUGUCACUUAUAGAUGGAUCCGCGCUGCAUUAGCUAGUUGGUAAGGUAACGGCUUACCAAGGCAACGAUGCAUAGCCGACCUGAGAGGGUGAUCGACCACACAGGAACAGAGACACGGUCCAGCCUCCUACGGGAGGCAGAAGUAGGGAAUCUUCCGAAAUGGGCGAAAGCCUGACGGAGCAACGCCGCGUGAGUGAUGAAGGUCUUCGGAUCGUAAAACUCUGUUAUGAGGGAAGAACAUAUGUGUAAGUAACUGUGCACAUCGUGACGGUACCUAAUCAGAAAGCCACGGCUAACUACGUG
rnacentral:rRNA from 1 species